rnacentral:rRNA from 1 species
AUUGAACGCUGGCGGCAGGCCUAACACAUGCAAGUCGAACGAGUGGCGGACGGGUGAGUAAUGUCUGGGAAACUGUCUGAUGGAGGGGGAUAACUACUGGAAACGGUAGCUAAUACCGCAUACCAUCAGAUGUGCCCCGAUGGGAUUAGCUUGGUGGUGGGGUAACGGCUCACCAAGGCGAAGAUCCCUAGCUGGUCGGGGAGGAUGCCCAGCCACACGGGAACGGAGACGCGGACCAGAGUCCUACGAGAGGGAGCAGUGGGGAAUAUUGCACAAUAGGCGCAAGCCUGAUGCAGUCAUGCCGCGUGUAUGAAGAAGGCCUUCGGGUUGUAAAGUACUUUCAGCGGGGGUGCGUUACCCGCAGAAGAAGCACCGGCUAACUCCGUGCCAGCAGCCGCGGUAAUUC